GGAAGAGAAAGAAAAUUCGAUUCCCUUAGUAGCGGCGAGCGAAACGGGAAGAGCCCAAACCAACAAGCUUGCUUGUUGGGGUUGUAGGACACUCUGUACGGAGUUACAAAGGACGACAUUAGACGAAUCAUCUGGAAAGAUGAAUCAAAGAAGGUAAUAAUCCUGUAGUCGAAAAUGUUGUCUCUCUUGAGUGGAUCCUGAGUACGACGGAGCACGUGAAAUUCCGUCGGAAUCUGGGAGGACCAUCUCCUAAGGCUAAAUACUCUCUAGUGACCGAUAGUGAACCAGUACCGUGAGGGAAAGGUGAAAAGCACCCCGGAAGGGGAGUGAAAUAGAACCUGAAACCGUGUGCUUACAAGUAGUCAGAGCCCGUUAAUGGGUGAUGGCGUGCCUUUUGUAGAAUGAACCGGCGAGUUACGAUUUGAUGCAAGGUUAAGCAGUAAAUGUGGAGCCGUAGCGAAAGCGAGUCUGAAUAGGGCGUUUAGUAUUUGGUCGUAGACCCGAAACCAGGUGAUCUACCCUUGGUCAGGUUGAAGUUCAGGUAACACUGAAUGGAGGACCGAACCGACUUACGUUGAAAAGUGAGCGGAUGAACUGAGGGUAGCGGAGAAAUUCCAAUCGAACCUGGAGAUAGCUGGUUCUCUCCGAAAUAGCUUUAGGGCUAGCCUCAAGUGAUGAUUAUUGGAGGUAGAGCACUGUUUGGACGAGGGGCCCCUCUCGGGUUACCGAAUUCAGACAAACUCCGAAUGCCAAUUAAUUUAACUUGGGAGUCAGAACAUGGGUGAUAAGGUCCGUGUUCGAAAGGGAAACAGCCCAGACCACCAGCUAAGGUCCCAAAAUAUAUGUUAAGUGGAAAAGGAUGUGGCGUUGCCCAGACAACUAGGAUGUUGGCUUAGAAGCAGCCAUCAUUUAAAGAGUGCGUAAUAGCUCACUAGUCGAGUGACACUGCGCCGAAAAUGUACCGGGGCUAAACAUAUUACCGAAGCUGUGGAUUGUCCUUUGGACAAUGGUAGGAGAGCGUUCUAAGGGCGUUGAAGCAUGAUCGUAAGGACAUGUGGAGCGCUUAGAAGUGAGAAUGCCGGUGUGAGUAGCGAAAGACGGGUGAGAAUCCCGUCCACCGAUUGACUAAGGUUUCCAGAGGAAGGCUCGUCCGCUCUGGGUUAGUCGGGUCCUAAGCUGAGGCCGACAGGCGUAGGCGAUGGAUAACAGGUUGAUAUUCCUGUACCACCUAUAAUCGUUUUAAUCGAUGGGGGGACGCAGUAGGAUAGGCGAAGCGUGCGAUUGGAUUGCACGUCUAAGCAGUAAGGCUGAGUAUUAGGCAAAUCCGGUACUCGUUAAGGCUGAGCUGUGAUGGGGAGAAGACAUUGUGUCUUCGAGUCGUUGAUUUCACACUGCCGAGAAAAGCCUCUAGAUAGAAAAUAGGUGCCCGUACCGCAAACCGACACAGGUAGUCAAGAUGAGAAUUCUAAGGUGAGCGAGCGAACUCUCGUUAAGGAACUCGGCAAAAUGACCCCGUAACUUCGGGAGAAGGGGUGCUCUUUAGGGUUAACGCCCAGAAGAGCCGCAGUGAAUAGGCCCAAGCGACUGUUUAUCAAAAACACAGGUCUCUGCUAAACCGUAAGGUGAUGUAUAGGGGCUGACGCCUGCCCGGUGCUGGAAGGUUAAGAGGAGUGGUUAGCUUCUGCGAAGCUACGAAUCGAAGCCCCAGUAAACGGCGGCCGUAACUAUAACGGUCCUAAGGUAGCGAAAUUCCUUGUCGGGUAAGUUCCGACCCGCACGAAAGGCGUAACGAUUUGGGCACUGUCUCAACGAGAGACUCGGUGAAAUCAUAGUACCUGUGAAGAUGCAGGUUACCCGCGACAGGACGGAAAGACCCCGUGGAGCUUUACUGUAGCCUGAUAUUGAAAUUCGGCACAGCUUGUACAGGAUAGGUAGGAGCCUUUGAAACGUGAGCGCUAGCUUACGUGGAGGCGCUGGUGGGAUACUACCCUAGCUGUGUUGGCUUUCUAACCCGCACCACUUAUCGUGGUGGGAGACAGUGUCAGGCGGGCAGUUUGACUGGGGCGGUCGCCUCCUAAAAGGUAACGGAGGCGCUCAAAGGUUCCCUCAGAAUGGUUGGAAAUCAUUCAUAGAGUGUAAAGGCAUAAGGGAGCUUGACUGCGAGACCUACAAGUCGAGCAGGGUCGAAAGACGGACUUAGUGAUCCGGUGGUUCCGCAUGGAAGGGCCAUCGCUCAACGGAUAAAAGCUACCCCGGGGAUAACAGGCUUAUCUCCCCCAAGAGUUCACAUCGACGGGGAGGUUUGGCACCUCGAUGUCGGCUCAUCGCAUCCUGGGGCUGUAGUCGGUCCCAAGGGUUGGGCUGUUCGCCCAUUAAAGCGGUACGCGAGCUGGGUUCAGAACGUCGUGAGACAGUUCGGUCCCUAUCCGUCGUGGGCGUAGGAAAUUUGAGAGGAGCUGUCCUUAGUACGAGAGGACCGGGAUGGACAUACCUCUGGUGUACCAGUUGUCGUGCCAACGGCAUAGCUGGGUAGCUAUGUGUGGACGGGAUAAGUGCUGAAAGCAUCUAAGCAUGAAGCCCCCCUCAAGAUGAGAUUUCCCAACUUCGGUUAUAAGAUCCCUCAAAGAUGAUGAGGUUAAUAGGUUCGAGGUGGAAGCAUGGUGACAUGUGGAGCUGACGAAUACUAAUCGAUCGAAGACUUAAUCAA
rnacentral:rRNA from 2 species